AUACUUACCUGGACGGGGUGAAUGGGUGAUCAAAAAGGCCCAUGACCUAGGUUUGUGACCUCAUUGCACAUUGAGGAUGCUCUCCUAAGAUCUCCCCAAGUGGGAGAGUCUGCGUCAUAAUUUGUUGUAGGGGCACGCGUGUGCGCGGCCCCGUU
rfam:Macleaya cordata isolate BLH2017 scaffold9023, whole genome shotgun sequence.